CGCCGAGCCCGCGCCCUGGGCCUGCGGCUGCGGCGAUGAAGAUCUGGAGCUCGGAGCACGUGUUCGGCCAUCCCUGGGACACGGUGAUCAAGGCGGCCAUGCGGAAGUACCCUAACCCGAUGAACCCAUGUGUGGUGGGCGUGGAUGUGCUGGAGCGCAGCGUGGAUGGCUGUGGGCGCCUGCACAGUCUGCGUCUGCUCAGCACUGAAUGGGGGCUGCCUGGCCUCGUGCGUGCGAUUUUGGGAGCCAACAGGACCUUGACAUACAUCAAAGAGCGUUCCGUCGUGGAUCCGGCUGCCAGGAAAAUGGAGCUGUGUUCCACCAAUAUCACGCUCACGAAUCUGGUGUCAGUGAAUGAGAGGUUGGUGUACACACCUCAUCCAGAGAACCCUGAAAAGACUGUGCUCACUCAAGAAGCUGUCAUCACUGUGAAGGGAAUUAGCUUGGGGAGCUACCUGGAAAGUCUAAUGGCUACCACAAUAUCCUCCAAUGCAAAGAAGGGGUGGGCUGCCAUUGAGUGGAUAAUUGAACAUUCCGAGAGCGCCAUAAGCUAACAGGUUUGCCACCCAUGCCUGGUGACACAAGGGGCAGUCACAGUAACUUCUUAACCUGUCAGAUGUCUCACCAAAAAGAGUCAAAGAAGAAAGGAAAGGAAGUAUGGACGAAUAAAGAAGAUGAGAGGCAAGUGUGGCUGGGGCUCCCGCCAAGACUGGAGGAGGUGUCUGCUGGAAUCUUCCCUCCCAUCAGCAUCAGGCCAAGGCGCCAGCUCUGUGAGGCCGUUUCUUGGGAGUGGUGUGGAGCCCUGGUCUGCUGGGCUCUGCUGUGGGCACUGUGCUGGGCAGUACUGGGCUGUACUGCCUCUGUGUUGGUUUUAAGCUUUUAUUUGCUUCUGGAAGGAGUGUCACUUCUGUGUGCUGGCUCUAGUCACGCCAUCAAAAGAGGGCUCCCCUUUCCUCAUGCCCUGCCAGCUAAGCUGGGGUAGGUCCCUCAGAGCUUCCCCAGGGGCCUGGCUGCUGUUCUCUGUUCCUGGUAGCCCUAUGUCCUUGUAGUGUCCACUUGCCUCUGUGAAGGAGAUUGAGAAGUUGCUCUCGGGCCCUCAGGGUCCCCAUCAUGCACUGCAUCCAAAAACAGUUUGGGAGCUCUCUACACAGGCUACUAUGGGUUCCAGCGGCAACUGGGAUUUCCAAACUGAAGACUGGCCUUGAACUCUGUGUGUGACUGAAGAUGACCUUGAACUCUUUCUUCUGCUUCCCCAUUCCCAAAUCCUGAGAUUACAGACUUGGACUGCUAUACCUGACUCUUUUUGGUUGUCAUUCUUGAGACAGAUCUUGCUAUGUAGCCCUGGCUGUUCUGAAACUCAUGGCAUUUCUCCUGCCUCAGCAUCUCAAGCACUGGGAUCACAGGUGUGUACUACCACACUUGUUAUGGGAGUCUUGUCAAGUACCAACUGUCUUUUCAACAGGAUGGCUUGACAACCCUUAAAGAGGGUGGGAACCUCCUGCUAUGUACAAAGAGCUGUCCAGCCAAUUCCCUUUCCAUAUCCCGGGGUAUUGAGGUCUGGCUGGGGUGUGAGUGGUGGUUUUGUGCUCGUGUACCAGAUUGAAGCCCCUCCCCCACACGCACAUUGCCUUCCUGCCUCAGAGUUUCUGUGCUGCUCAUUUUCUUUGUAGUCUUUAGUCUGUCAGUGUUUCAGACAGGGACAUGAGCAUGAGGUGCUGCCGUCUUUUGUUUUGAGACAAAGUCUCAUGUAACUCAGGUUGACCUUCAACUGUCCUCCAUCUUCUUCCACCUCUUAUGAAUUACAAGUGAGCACUGUCAUGCCUGGCCUUCUUCUAAAUCAAGGUUGUUUAACACACACACACACACACACACACACACACACACACACAAUCCAUAUUUGUAGUUGGUUUUUU